UCAAAUUUGACUAAAACUGAGCCCAAUCAGAUUGGGCUAAGUUCGGACGAACCCAAACUAUAAAUUGGGUUAAAUCCGAACCAAAUUAAGCCCAAUUGAGUUGGGUCUGAACCUAAUUAAGCUGAGUUAGUCUCAGCAGACCCAAAUUGAAUAUGAAUCAAGCCCAAAUCAAAACCAGUUUAACUAAAUUAAGACCAAAUUGACCCGAUAGGGCUAGAUUCAAUCAGGAACCGAGCCCAAUUCUUUAAUUAAAGACCCAAUUGACCUACGUGAACCCAAUCUGGUUCUAAAUCGAGGCCAAGGGCUCUAAAUUAAAUAAAUUGGACUUGAGAUCCAAGCAAGUAAAUUCAUGUUAUGAUAAAUUAGAAAACUAUGAAAUAAAUAGAGAAUAAUGUGACCCCUAUGUGAUUUAUUUAGGUGAUCAAGGAUUUGUCAUCCGGACGUAAGAAAUUGGAAAGCAUAUUGCGGUAAGUAACCUUGGCACUGAUCUUAAAGUUUUUAAAUUACUGUUUAUUCAUCAUUAUGAAAAUGUAUUGCUUAUGAUAUAUUUUUCUCAAAACUAGGAUCAAGUAUAUGAUUGCAUGUAAUUCAUGAAUUUGAUUAAAGAGCAUCCUUCAUGAAUAUUUGAUAGUGUAUGAGUUAUGAAAUUAUGAUUAUG
rnacentral:lncRNA from 1 species